rnacentral:rRNA from 1 species
AACGAACGCUGGCGGCAUGCUUAACACAUGCAAGUCGAACGAGACCUUCGGGCUUUGUGGCGCUCGGGUGCGUAACGCGUGGGAACCUGCCCUUAGGUUCGGUAUAAUUCACUGUAGGGGGUGUUCAUAAAGGUUAAUCUCAUAGCACCAAAGAUUUAUCGCCAUUGGAUGGGCGCUGGUUAGAUUAGCCGGUUGGUAGGGUACAAGCCUGUCAUGGCGACGAUCCAUGGCUGGUCUGAGAGGAUGAUCAGCCCCGCUGGGCCUGAGACACGGCCCAGACUCCUACGGGAGGGAGCAGUAGGGAGUAUAGGACAAUGGGCGAAAGCCUGAUCCAGCAAUGCCGCGUAAGUGAUGAAGGCCUUAGGAUUGUAAAGCUCUUUUACCCGAGAUGAUAAUGACAGUACCGGGAGAAUAAGCUCCGGCUAACUCCGUG